rnacentral:antisense_RNA from 1 species
AGAGCUGUGAGAAGGCUGAGUUGGCCGCCCAGCUAGAAUCCCAGGUUCAUCUGCAGGAGAAAUUCCUAGAAAUGGGGAUGUUGGAUCAAAAGCACCAGCAACCAGAAUGGAAAGGUUUCAGGAAGACUUAGGAGCUGACGAGGAAGACAGAACAUGUCUUAACUGGGUGACUCCGUAGGAAAGGAAGGCCACAGAUCAGCCCUGGGGUUCAGAGGGAUCCUGACGGCUACUCCUCAAGAUCCUCUCUGUUGUGAUUCAUCCCCCCCAGGCCCUACAGUUUCUCCUUCCUGACUCUUACAUUUCUUUGGAUGGCAUCACUAUUUACCUGUCUCCUCCCAUAGUUAGUUGCCAAGCACUGUGGAUUCUACCCCUCAGGGUCCAGACACCCAUUUUCCUUCCCACUGUUCCCUCCCCAUGGAGAAGCCUGUGGCUGACUGACAGCUCAACUUGGAGAAGGUGUUACCUGGGCCAGGUGGGGAAGGUAGGGUUGUUUGCAGAGCAAAGAAGUGAAGGAAGUAUUAACCCUUUGCAUGGCCUCCUGAGAAUCUGACAAGACGUAAAUAGCCAAGAAUAUCUGUGGAACUUAAUCAGUGAGUUACAAUAUUUAUCACUGCAAGUGUGUUGUUCAUUGACACUAUAAAGCCAUAUGGAAUUAAGCAGCCUUGAAACACAAAAUGGAGAAAGGCUAAGAGCUGAGAAUUGUUGCCUUCAGGGAAAUAUAAUCAAUGUCAAGCAAACAACCACCC